rnacentral:rRNA from 1 species
GACGUAGGGCGCGAGCGUUGUCCGGAUUUAUUGGGCGUAAAGCGCACGUAGGCGGCUUUGCAAGUUAGAGGUGAAAGCCCGGGGCUCAACUCCGGAAUUGCCUUUAAAACUGCAUCGCUAGAAUUGUGGAGAGGUAAGUGGAAUUCCGAGUGUAGAGGUGAAAUUCGUAGAUAUUCGGAAGAACACCAGUGGCGAAGGCGGCUCUCUGGGCCUUACCUGACGCUGAGGAGCGAAAGCGUGGGGAGCAAACAGG